UAACGGCGAGUGAACCGGGAAAAGCUCAAAUUUGUAAUCUGGCUGUCUUCGAUAGUCCGAGUUGUAAUCUAUAGACGUGUUUUCCGUGCUGGACCGUAUCUAAGUCCCUUGGAACAGGGUAUCAAAGAGGGUGACAAUCCCGUGCUUGAUACGACCACCAGUGCUCUGUGAUACACGCUCUACGAGUCGAGUUGUUUGGGAAUGCAGCUCAAAAUGGGUGGUAAAUUCCAUCUAAAGCUAAAUAUUGGCGAGAGACCGAUAGCGAACAAGUACCGUGAGGGAAAGAUGAAAAGCACUUUGGAAAGAGAGUUAAACAGUACGUGAAAUUGUUGAAAGGGAAACGAUUGAAGUCAGUCGUGUUCUUUGGAUUCAGCUAGUUCUUCUAGUCUACUUCCUUUGAACGGGUCAACAUCAGUUUUGUCCGGUGGAUAAAGAUAGUAGGAAUGUAGCUCCCUCGGGAGUGUUAUAGACUAUUAUUGCAUGCACUGGGUGAGACUGAGGACUGCAGCUCGCCUUUUGGCCGACCUUCGGGUACGUUCGAGCUUAGGAUGUUGACAUAAUGGCUUUAAACGACCCGUCUUGAAACACGGACCAAGGAGUCUAACAUAUCUGCGAGUGUUUGAGUGUCAAACUCAAGCGCGUAAUGAAAGUGAACUGGGAGGGAUCCGUAAGGAGCACCUUCGACCGAUCCGGAUGUUUACUGAUGGAUUUGAGUAAGAGCAUAUAUGCUGG
rnacentral:rRNA from 1 species